UAUCUUGGCCAAGUCAGGAUUGAUAACAUGGCCAUCCUAUCUUGGCCGGUCAUCAUAUAACAUGGCCAUCCUAUCUUGGCCAAGUCAAGAUUUAUAACAUGGCCAUGCUAUCUUGACCAAGUCAGGAUUGAUAACAUGACCAUCCCAUCCUGGCCAAGUCAAGAUAACAUGACCACCCUAUCUUGACCAGGUCAUGAUUUAAUCUUGACCAAGUCAGGAUUGAUAACAUGGUCAUCCUAUCUUGGCCGGGUCAUGAUUCAAUGUUGACCAAGUCAGGAUUGACAACAUAUGCCCAUCCUAUCUUGGUCGGCCAGGAUUGCAUUGCGCCAGGAUAUAUUACUUCCAAACGCAGCCAAGAUUUCUUCAAGCGUCAAUCCUGGCCAAGUCAGGAUGUAUUUCUUCAAACGCAGCCAAGAUUUCUUCAAGCGUCAAUCCUGGCCUUGCGCCAGGAUGUAUGACUUCCAAACGCAGUCAUGAUUUAUUCAAGCGUCAAUCCUGGACAAGUCAUGAUGUAUUUCUUCAAACGCAGUCAAGAUUUGAAGUCAUGAUUGCAUUGCGCCAGGAUGUAUGACUUCCAAGCACAGUCAUGAUUCGCUUUAGUAUGAUAAUAUGUAAGCGCUUCCCUAACACUGAAAAACCGCUAAAAUGUGUAUUGGGUUUCCAGCCUUCCCGUUCAUCUCAGCUGGCAAGUAAGUACCAAGUAACAGCUAGUGAUUUGUGUGUACUGAACCAUCAACAUAUUAAACUGUCCAAGACUGGUGAUAGAUAUGUAGAUUGACGCAUGCUGACUGGGGAUUAUGAGUAUGGAUAACCAUUUUGCAGAAUUAGGAAUGUGCAGCUGAAAGUGGUCAAAGACCAAAGGCCAAGACUGAUGUCAGCUUGAAAGAAACUACUCUGUGUAUUGGAUUUGCAAGAUAAAAGAUGAUGAAUUAAAGCACCAGUUUCAAGUCCAAAGAUCAAAAAGCACCAUUUAGGUCAAGGUCAACUCCAAAUAUUGGUUAAAACCUAAUUUGUACCAACAACUGAAUCAAGAAGAGGGCAGUCUUGAUAGGACACCCAUAAAAGAGCUAAACAGGUAUAGUUUACCAAUUCCAAGUUCAAAGAGCUUGGCAAUAAAUGACACCUCUACCAGUUGCAGAAUCACCGCUCAUGUAUUGAGAGUAUUUUUUGUUUGGCCUACACAGAUGUUGAGAUGUGUAAAGAAAGAGAUCUUCACUGAAUUAUUUUUACAUAGAAAUGAUAGAAUUUAAUCUUCUCAGAUUAAGCUGUAAGCUCAAGAGAGCUUUUCUGAUCAUCCAUUGUGCAGCAUCUGUUUGUCUAUAAACUGUAAUCAUUUCAGACUUCUUCUUGAGAACCACUGGUUCCCCCUUCCAAGAGGAGAUUAUCAAGAAGGGCAAAAAUGGGUUGGGGGAAGGGAUUAUUUAAAAAUCUUUGGAAGAACCUCUUGGCCAAAUAGAUGAAAGGUUUAUGACAAAGGAUAGUGUGAAUUCUAAAUUUUUCAAAUUGUGGCGACCAUGGGUAGGCUACAAUUGAUCAUUGAUUAAUGAAGUUAAGAGAGUCUUACACGUGUUCGUGCUUUCAAUCACAUUUCGCUUUCGCACAGCUUCCUCCAUGGUUAAAUUUUCAAAUGUGGAGAACCCUGGGUAGUGUAGGUCCAAGAUGGGGAUCUAACUUCAACAUGGAAAUAUACAGGAAUUUAAAGUUUUUUGAUGUAGCAUAGAUUUUAAAUUGAUCAUUAAAUCAAAGCACAAAGGGGUAUGUUGGGACUAAAAUAGAAGGUCAGUUUUACAUAGUAAUUGAUUAGUCGAGCAUCCUCAGGGUAGUGCAAAAUUAACUUCGCUUGAAUCUUGACCCUUAGGGUGGAAUCAUAAUGGGGGAUCCAAGUUUUGCUGGGGAAUAAAGAAAAAAAUCUUGAACAAUAUUCUUUUCAAGAACAGUAGGGCCAAGACUUAUCAUGAUGCAUUUGGCCAAGUGUAAAAACUAUACAGGGGCUAAUUGUUUUCAUAAGAAUGAAGAAAUAAUUUUUUUUUGAUUUAAAAUAUUCUGAAGAAAACAGGACCAAAGUAACUCAGUUGAGCUAUGUGGCUCAUGUUUCUUUGUUUAUUGUGUAUGUGUAUAGAGUGUUGUUUUGUUUCUCAGACAAAUACUGUGUAGUAUAAAAAAAACUUUUAUUCUUGCAUUUUAGUAUUGUUUUUAAUAUCUUUAAAGGUCCUUGAUACAAGAAAGCAUUAAAUUAGAGUACUAUUUGUCUGUGUUAUAGAUAAUAUGCAUUUUACAUCUUGUAAUACAACAUUUUACUUUUUCGGU